UGGGGAAUUUUGGACAAUGGGGGAAACCCUGAUCCAGCCAUCCCGCGUGUGCGAUGAAGGCCUUCGGGUUGUAAAGCACUUUUGGCAGGAAAGAAACGUCGCGGGUUAAUACCCCGCGAAACUGACGGUACCUGCAGAAUAAGCACCGGCUAACUACGUGCCAGCAGCCGCGGUAAUACGUAGGAUGCAAGCGUUAAUCGGAAUUACUGGGCGUAAAGCGUGCGCAGGCGGUUCGGAAAGAAAGAUGUGAAAUCCCAGAGCUUAACUUUGGAACUGCAUUUUUAACUACCGGGCUAGAGUGUGUCAGAGGGAGGUGGAAUUCCGCGUGUAGCAGUGAAAUGCGUAGAUAUGCGGAGGAACACCGAUGGCGAAGGCAGCCUCCUGGGAUAACACUGACGCUCAUGCACGAAAGCGUGGGGAGCAAACAGGAUUAGAUACCCUGGUAGUCCACGCCCUAAACGAUGUCAACUAGCUGUUGGGGCCUUCGGGCCUUGGUAGCGCAGCUAACGCGUGAAGUUGACCGCCUGGGGGAGUACGGUCGCAAGAUU
rnacentral:rRNA from 1 species